AUUGAACGCUGGCGGCAUGCCUAACACAUGCAAGUCGAACGGCAGCACAGUCUAGUUUACUAGACGGGUGGCGAGUGGCGAACGGGUGAGUAACGCGUAGGAAUAUGCCUUGAAGUGGGGGACAACUUGGGGAAACUCAAGCUAAUACCGCAUAUGUUCUGAGGAACAAAGCUGGGGACCGUAAGGCCUGGCGCGUUGAGAGUAGCCUGCGUCCGAUUAGCUAGUUGGUGAGGUAAAGGCUUACCAAGGCGACGAUCGGUAGCUGGUCUGAGAGGAUGAUCAGCCACACUGGGACUGAGACACGGCCCAGACUCCUGCGGGAGGCAGCAGUGGGGAAUAUUGGACAAUGGGGGAAACCCUGAUCCAGCAAUGCCGCGUGUGUGAAGAAGGCCUGAGGGUUGUAAAGCACUUUCAGUGGGGAAGAGGGUUGGCAGGUUAAGGGCUAGUUAACUGGACGUUACCCACAUAAGAAGCACCGGCUAACUCCGUGCCAGCCGCCGCGGUAA
rnacentral:rRNA from 1 species